rnacentral:rRNA from 1 species
UACAGAGGUCUCAAGCGUUGUUCGGAUUCAUUGGGCGUAAAGGGUGCGUAGGUGGCGCCAUACGUCAGGUGUGAAAUCUCGGGGCUCAACCCCGAAACUGCACUUGAUACUGUGGUGCUGGAGUACUGGAGAGGAGAUUGGAAUUUACGGUGUAGCAGUGAAAUGCGUAGAUAUCGUAAGGAAGACCAGGGGCGAAGGCGAAUCUCUGGACAGUUACUGACACUGAGGCACGAAGGCCAGGGGAGCAAACGGG